rnacentral:rRNA from 1 species
CCUACGGGAGGCAGCAGUGAGGAAUAUUGGUCAAUGGGCGGAAGCCUGAACCAGCCAAGUCGCGUGAGGGAAGACGGUCCUAUGGAUUGUAAACCUCUUUUGUCGGGGAGCAAAAGACGCCACGCGUGGCGUUCCGAGAGUACCCGCAGAUAAAGCAUCGGCUAACUCCGUGCCAGCAGCCGCGGUAAUCCGGAGGAUGCGAGCGUUAUCCGGAUUUAUUGGGUUUAAGGGGUGCUUAGGCGGACUGUUAAGUCAGCGGUAAAAGCCCGGGGCGCAACGCCGGCGGGCCGUUGAAACUGGCGGGCUGGAGAUGGCGAGAGGUAUGCGGAAUGCGCAGUGUAGCGGUGAAAUGCUUAGAUAUUGCGCAGAACUCCGAUUGCGAAGGCAGCAUACCGGCGGCGAUCUGACGCUGAGGCACGAAAGCGUGGGUAUCGAACAGGAUUAGAUACCCUAGUAGUC